rnacentral:lncRNA from 1 species
GUUUGGCUCCUCGCUAGGGCGCUUUGCAGAGAGAGCGGGGAGCCACUGCUGGCGCCGCGAGAGGGAAACAUGGUGGGAGGAGUGAUUCAUCAUAUUUACUUUCAGGCGUUCGUCUUGUAACAAGAUUAAUUCAGUAGGACUCAACUUCCAGAGAAAAAUGGACCGUUUAUUGUUUCAGAUUCAGGCUUAGGCACAGCAGGUGGAUUUUCCAAAUUGCCUCAUCUGACAUUUCCUAGAAGUAUACGCUCACAUUAUUCCAUUUUUUGGCAACUGUAAAGUUCUAUUUGAACAUUCUACGAGUCGGUUGGCAGGGCUGGGAAUUUCGAGCACUUAACUAUCACUCGAGCUUGAGCUUGGUUUUGUCAAGUGAUUUUUAACCGUGAGACGGUCCUUUUUUAGAUCUGGAAAUCAUCGCAGAAAAUGUAAGUCAUUCGCCAAAGGUCACUGAAUAAUAUACAGAUUAGAGCUGGGAACUGAUGAAUAUUGAUCGGAAUCCAGUUCUCUUACAUCUCGGAGUCACUUGCAGCAAGUGACUGUAACUCGUGAUGCGUAGAACUCUGUUUAGCACAUGGAGUCAGUGCAGAUUUUUGAGAUGCGUCUUCUCCUGGCUUUUCCCCCUGGGACUUUGAGGGCUAGCUUAUUGUGAUGUCUGCUCUUACCCAAAGUGAGAAUGGAAAGCUGUAAAUCGUAUACUCUUCUUCUAGAAGCAAACUUUCCUGCUGUGUUGGGCAGACCCAACAGGCAGAUCCACUUUGCCAGCAGUAAUACUGCAGUCCAGAUCCUGAUGAACCUCUAGGAAAAAAAGAAGCUGCUUCUGUCAGACACAGAUCCUGAGGUUGUGUCAGAUGUAAGAGAGGACUCGUUUCCUGGUUCCACCUAGAACACCGGCUCUGUCUGCACACGGUGUCCCUUGCCCAAGGCUGGAGAAGCAGCGAGGAGCCUUCACAGAUAUGGGAGUGAUAUAUCCCUGGCCAUUGUCAGAUCCCUUGGACAUCCUCCUCCUGUGCACAUGAGUGGAUCUGGGGAUAGUCUGUGAGCAUCUUUCUUCCUGUUUUUAUAAAGUGUUCUCUGUUUUCUACUGAAUCUUCAAACACAGCUUGGGUCUUAUCAUUGGCUGUAUCAAGGAUAGUGUUUUCCUGCUUCUGAAGAGCUUAAAAAACAGGGGUGCCUGGGUGGUUCACUCGGUUAAGUGUCUGCCUUCGGCUCAGGUCAUGGUCCCAGAGUCCUGGAAUCGAGUCCCACAUCAGGCUCCUUGCUCAGCUGGAAGCCUGCUUCUCCCUCUUCCACUGCCCCUGCUUGUGUUCCUCUCUUGCUGUGUCUCUGUCAAAUAAAUAAAUUCUUA